AUAACAACAUACCGUCGGUCUACCGAGCAAUAUCAUCCGCUCAGUGAAAGACCAUUCCGCCGUCGU
rnacentral:pre_miRNA from 1 species